CGUGUGGAAGGGGCCAGCCGCGUGGCGGCGCAGACAUUCCCGGAAGGGCAUCGGGGCCGCAGUUCACGCUGAGCUCACGUAUGGGGCCACCCGCCACCACCAGUCCCUCCACCAGGGGAAAAAUCCGGCUUCGUUCCUUUACUUCUCAGUGUAAAAAGAUGAUGGAUGACUCGCAGUGACUGGAUGGAUGAUGCUUAUCAGUUCCUGAAUGGCUCUUGAUGGAAGAAAGAAUAAGAGAAGAUCAACAGGAAUGACUUUUGAGCCAAGAAUAUCAGCCAAGGGCAUCUUCAAUCUUUAUUGCUGAAUAAAUGUACUGAAAAGCAGAGCAGCUUG